AACGAACGCUGGCGGCAGGCUUAACACAUGCAAGUCGAGCGCCACGCAAGGGGAGCGGCAGACGGGUGAGUAACGCGUGGGAACGUACCCUUUGCUACGGAAUAGCUCCGGGAAACUGGAAUUAAUACCGUAUGUGCCCUACGGGGGAAAGAUUUAUCGGCAAAGGAUCGGCCCGCGUUGGAUUAGCUAGUUGGAGGGGUAAUGGCCUAGCAAGGCGACGAUCCAUAGCUGGACUGAGAGGAUGAUCAGCCACAUUGGGACUGAGACACGGCCCAAACUCCGACGGGAGGCAUCAGUGGGGAAUAUUGGACAAUGGGCGCAAUCCUGAUCCAGCCAUGCCGCGUGAGUGAUGAAGGCCUUAGGGUUGUAAAGCUCUUUCACCGGAGAAGAUAAUGACGGUAUCCGGAGAAGAAGCCCCGGCUAACUUCGUGCCAGCAGCCGCAGUAAGAC
rnacentral:rRNA from 1 species